rnacentral:rRNA from 1 species
UACGUAGGGUGCAAGCGUUGUCCGGAAUUAUUGGGCGUAAAGAGCCCGUAGGCGGUCUGUCGCGUCGGAUGUGAAAAUCCAGGGCUCAACCCUGGACCUGCAUUCGAUACGGGCAGACUAGAGUUCGGUAGGGGAGACUGGAAUUCCUGGUGUAGCGGUGAAAUGCGCAGAUAUCAGGAGGAACACCGGUGGCGAAGGCGGGUCUCUGGGCCGAAACUGACGCUGAGGAGCGAAAGCGUGGGGAGCGAACAGG